GAUGAACGCUGGCGGCGUGCUUAACACAUGCAAGUCGAACGGAAAGGCCCUGCGUUUGGGGGGUGCUCGAGUGGCGAACGGGGGAGUAACACGUGAGUAACCCGCCCUUGACUUAGGGAUAACUCUAGGAAACUCGGGCUAAUACCGGAGAUGAGCUCUUGAUCCACGGGGGGCGGUGGAAAGUGUCGGCGGUUGGGGCUGGUAUCGCGGCAUAUCAGCUGGUUUGUGGGGUAGUGAAGUACCAAGGCUGUGACGGGUAGCCCGCCUGAGAGGGUGACCGGCCCCAUUGGGACUGCGGUACGGCGCAGCCUCCUACGGGAGGCAGCGGUGGGGAAUAUUGCACAAUGGGCGGAAGCCUGAUGCAGCAACGCCGCGUUCGGAAUGACCGCCUUCGGGUUGUAAACCGCUUUCGCCUUUGACGAAGCGUGAGUGACGGUACUGGGUCAAAAAGCACCGGCUAACUACGUG
rnacentral:rRNA from 1 species